AUACGGAGGAUGCGAGCGUUAUCCGGAUUUAUUGGGUUUAAAGGGAGCGUAGGUGGGAUAUUAAGUCAGCUGUGAAAGUUUGGGGCUCAACCUUAAAAUUGCAGUUGAUACUGGUUUCCUUGAGUACGGUACAGGUGGGCGGAAUUCGUGGUGUAGCGGUGAAAUGCUUAGAUAUCACGAAGAACUCCGAUCGCGAAGGCAGCUCACCGGGCCGGAACUGACACUGAUGCUCGAAAGUGCGGUAUCAAACAGGAUUAGAUACCCUGGUAGUCCGCACAGUAAACGAUGAAUACUCGCUGUUUGCGAUACACGGUAAGCGGCCAAGCGAAAGCGUUAAGUAUUCCACCUGGGGAGUACGCCGGCAACGGUGAAACUCAAAGGAAUUGACGGGG
rnacentral:rRNA from 1 species